UCCGAUAUGGUCUAGUGGCUAGGAUACCUGUCUCUCAUUGCUCGCUCUAAUGCGUCCAACGAUAGCCCACAGGUGGCCGGGGUAAGUCAAUCUCACGCUGAAGAGUUGUGUCACAGUUUACUGACAUCAUCGUAGGUUCAAUUCCCCGUGUCGGAA
rnacentral:tRNA from 1 species